AGUUUGAUCAUGGCUCAGGACGAACGCUGGCGGUGUGCUUCACACAUGCAAGUCGAACGAGGUAGCAAUACCUAGUGGCGGACGGGUGAGUAACGCGUGGGAAUCUGCCUUUAGAUGGGGGAUAACGGGUCGAAAGACUCGCUAAUACCGCAUAUGACGAAAGUUGAAAGGAGUAAUCCGUCUAAAGAUGAGCCCGCGUCCGAUUAGCUAGUUGGUAGAGUAAAAGCCUACCAAGGCGACGAUCGGUAGCUGGUCUGAGAGGAUGAUCAGCCACAAUGGGACUGAGACACGGCCCAUACUCCUACGGGAGGCAGCAGUGGGAAUUUUACGCAAUGGGCGAAAGCCUGACGUAGCGACACCGCGUGAGCGAAGAAGCCCCUUGGGGUGUAAAGCUCUGUCAGCUGGAACGAAAAAAUGACGGUACCAGCAGAGGAAGCAUCGGCUAACUACGUG
rnacentral:rRNA from 1 species